rnacentral:rRNA from 1 species
CCUACGGGAGACUGCAGUGGGGAAUAUUGCACAAUGGGGGAAACCCUGAUGCAGCGACGCCGCGUGAGUGAAGAAGGAUUUCGGGAUGUAAAGCUCUAUCAGCAGGGAAGAAAAUGACGGUACGUGAGUAAGAAGCCCCGGCUAACUACGUGCCAGCAGCCGCGGUAAUACGUAGGGGGCAAGCGUUAUCCGGAUUUACUGGGUGUAAAGGGAGCGUAGACGGCAGCACAAGGCUGGAGUGAAAUGCCGGGGCUUAACCCCGGAACUGCUUUCGAAACUGUGCAGCUAGAGUGCAGGAGAGGUUACUGGAAUUCCUCUUGUAGCGGUGAAAUGCGUCGAUAUUAUGCGGAACCCCAGUCGCGAAGGCGGCUUACUGGACUGUAACUGCCGUUGAGGCUC